AUGCCGGAAGUGAGAAUUGGAUAAAACUAAAUUGAUGGUUAUUAUUUUACAAGCGUCUAAUUUAGUUUUCUCCAAUGUCUCACAGCCGAUGU
rnacentral:pre_miRNA from 1 species